AAGGAAUAUUGGUCAAUGGACGCAAGUCUGAACCAGCCAUGCCGCGUGGAGGAUGAAGGUCCUCUGGAUUGUAAACUUCUUUUAUCUGGGACGAAACACUUCUUUUCUAAGAGGCCUGACGGUACCAGAUGAAUAAGCACCGGCUAACUCCGUGCCAGCAGCCGCGGUAAUACGGAGGGUGCAAGCGUUAUCCGGAUUCACUGGGUUUAAAGGGUGCGUAGGUGGGUAUGUAAGUCAGUGGUGAAAUCCCCGAGCUUAACUUGGGAACUGCCAUUGAUACUAUAGGUCUUGAAUUAUCUGGAGGGAAGCUGAAUAUGUCAUGUAGCGGUGAAAUGCUUAGAUAUGACAUAGAACACCAAUUGCGAAGGCAGCUUACGACAUAUAAAUUGACGCUGAGGCACGAAAGCGUGGGAUCAAA
rnacentral:rRNA from 1 species